GAUGAACGCUAGCGAUAGGCUUAACACAUGCAAGUCGAGGGGUAACGUGUUGGAAGCUUGCUUCCGAUGACGACGACCGGCGGAUGGGUGCGUAACGCGUAUGCAACUUGCCUCACAGUGGAGAAUAACCCGGAGAAAUCCGGACUAAUACUCCAUACACUCUUAAGUACGCCUGUACAUGAGAGGAAAGAUUUAUCGCUGUGAGAUAGGCAUGCGUCCUAUUAGUUAGUUGGUGAGGUAACGGCUCACCAAGCCGACGAUAGGUAGGGGUGCUGAGAGGCAGAUACCCCACAUGGGGACUGAGACACGGACCAAACUACUAAGGGAGGCAGCAGUGAGGAAUAUUGGUCAAUGGAGGAAAAUCUGAACCAGCCAAGUCGCGUGAAGGAAGAAUGUCCUGAGGAUUGUAAACUUCUUUAGCGAGCGAGUAAGGACUUCCACGUGAUGGGAGUUUGAAAGUAGCUCGAGAAUAAGUAUCGGCUAACUCCGUG
rnacentral:rRNA from 1 species